AACGAACGCUGGCGGCAUGCCUAACACAUGCAAGUCGAACGAACCCUUCGGGGUUAGUGGCGCACGGGUGCGUAACGCGUGGGAAUCUGCCCUUUGCUUCGGAAUAACAGUUAGAAAUGACUGCUAAUACCGGAUGAUGUCUUCGGACCAAAGAUUUAUCGGCAAGGGAUGAGCCCGCGUAGGAUUAGGUAGUUGGUGGGGUAAAGGCCUACCAAGCCGACGAUCCUUAGCUGGUCUGAGAGGAUGAUCAGCCACACUGGGACUGAGACCCGGCCCAGACUCCUACGGGAGGCAGCAGUGGGGAAUAUUGGACAAUGGGCGCAAGCCUGAUCCAGCAAUGCCGCGUGAGUGGUGAAGGCCUUCGGGUCGUAAAGCUCUUUUACCAGGGAUGAUAAUGACAGUACCUGGAGAAUAAGCUCCGGCUAACUCCGUGCCAGCAGCCGCCGUAAGAC
rnacentral:rRNA from 1 species